CCUACGGGGGGCUGCAGUGAGGAAUAUUGGUCAAUGGUCGGGAGACUGAACCAGCCAAGCCGCGUGAGGGAUGAAGGUACAGAGUAUCGUAAACCUCUUUUGUCAGGGAACAAAGGCGGGGACGUGUCCCCGGAUGAGUGUACCUGAAGAAAAAGCAUCGGCUAACUCCGUGCCAGCAGCCGCGGUAAUACGGGGGAUGCGAGCGUUAUCCGGAUUUAUUGGGUUUAAAGGGUGCGCAGGCGGUCUGUUAGGUCAGGGGUAAAAGCCCGGGGCUCAACCCCGCCCCGCCGUUGAAACUGGCAGUCUCGAGUUGGAGAGAAGUAUGCGGAAUGCGCGGUGUAGCGGUGAAAUGCAUAGAUAUCGCGCAGAACUCCGAUUGCGAAGGCAGCAUGCCGGCUCCACACUGACGCUGAGGCACGAAAGCGUGGGUAUCGAACAGGAUUAGAUACCCGAGUAGUC
rnacentral:rRNA from 1 species